GUAGAGAAUACCAAGGCGCUUGAGAGAACUCGGGUGAAGGAACUAGGCAAAAUGGUGCCGUAACUUCGGGAGAAGGCACGCUGAUAUGUAGGUGAAGCGACUUGCUCGUGGAGCUGAAAUCAGUCGAAGAUACCAGCUGGCUGCAACUGUUUAUUAAAAACACAGCACUGUGCAAACACGAAAGUGGACGUAUACGGUGUGACGCCUGCCCGGUGCCGGAAGGUUAAUUGAUGGGGUUAGCGGUAACGCGAAGCUCUUGAUCGAAGCCCCGGUAAACGGCGGCCGUAACUAUAACGGUCCUAAGGUAGCGAAAUUCCUUGUCGGGUAAGUUCCGACCUGCACGAAUGGCGUAAUGAUGGCCAGGCUGUCUCCACCCGAGACUCAGUGAAAUUGAACUCGCUGUGAAGAUGCAGUGUACCCGCGGCAAGACGGAAAGACCCCGUGAACCUUUACUAUAGCUUGACACUGAACAUUGAGCCUUGAUGUGUAGGAUAGGUGGGAGGCUUUGAAGUGUGGACGCCAGUCUGCAUGGAGCCGACCUUGAAAUACCACCCUUUAAUGUUUGAUGUUCUAACGUUGGCCCCUAAUCGGGGUUGCGGACAGUGUCUGGUGGGUAGUUUGACUGGGGCGGUCUCCUCCUAAAGAGUAACGGAGGAGCACGAAGGUUGGCUAAUCCUGGUCGGACAUCAGGAGGUUAGUGCAAUGGCAUAAGCCAGCUUGACUGCGAGCGUGACGGCGCGAGCAGGUGCGAAAGCAGGUCAUAGUGAUCCGGUGGUUCUGAAUGGAAGGGCCAUCGCUCAACGGAUAAAAGGUACUCCGGGGAUAACAGGCUGAUACCGCCCAAGAGUUCAUAUCGACGGCGGUGUUUGGCACCUCGAUGUCGGCUCAUCACAUCCUGGGGCUGAAGUAGGUCCCAAGGGUAUGGCUGUUCGCCAUUUAAAGUGGUACGCGAGCUGGGUUUAGAACGUCGUGAGACAGUUCGGUCCCUAUCUGCCGUGGGCGCUGGAGAACUGAGGGGGGCUGCUCCUAGUACGAGAGGACCGGAGUGGACGCAUCACUGGUGUUCGGGUUGUCAUGCCAAUGGCACUGCCCGGUAGCUAAAUGCGGAAGAGAUAAGUGCUGAAAGCAUCUAAGCACGAAACUUGCCCCGAGAUGAGUUCUCCCUGAGACUUAGAGUCUCCUGAAGGAACGUUGAAGACGACGACGUUGAUAGGCCGGGUGUGUAAGCGCAGCGAUGCGUUGAGCUAACCGGUACUAAUGAACCGUGAGGCUUAACCUU
rnacentral:rRNA from 1 species